CUGAACCAGCCAAGUAGCGUGAAGGAUGACUGCCCUAUGGGUUGUAAACUUCUUUUAUACGGGAAUAAAGUGAGGCACGUGUGCCUUUUUGUAUGUACCGUAUGAAUAAGGAUCGGCUAACUCCGUGCCAGCAGCCGCGGUAAUACGGAGGAUCCGAGCGUUAUCCGGAUUUAUUGGGUUUAAAGGAAGCGUAGGCGGACGCUUAAGUCAGUUGUGAAAGUUUGCGG
rnacentral:rRNA from 1 species